UUAGCCAGCAAGCGUGGGGACCUGUGCCACGGAGACACCCAACAGGAAUCAUCAUUCCAGGUAAGCCAGUCCUGUGGUCAGGCACAACGUGAGGUAUUUUUUGUUUGUUUGUUUCUUUGUUUUUUAUUUUAAUUAGUCCCCCUCAUUACUAUAUACUUAGAAAUGAGAGCUUUAACUUGUGAGCAAUUUCUAUACCAGCUGAUACCUGCCAAAAUUGUAGUCAUUUAUAGAGAUUAACUGAUGACUGUCUGCUUUAGCAGAAGUGUUCAGGCAUAACUCUCAGAGAAAACAAUUCUUCACUCUAAGCUGUUUUCUAAGCCCUGGGAGUCUCAGGGCUGAGUUUAAUGCUGGAGGAUUGGGGAAGAGCCCAUUCCACUCUCCCCACGUGUGUUCCUGGGAGUCAGUAGGAACGUUAUUGCCUUGGUAGGGGUCUUGACCCUCAGGCUCACAAUGGUGCUGGAGAGCUGUGACACCAAGGCACAGGGGAAAUGAGAAGCAUUAUCAUAUUCAGGGUGUGGUUUGGAUGCACUUACAAGCUAGAUCGAAGGAACAUCUAAUUCUUACUUUCUGAAACCAUCAGACCUCAUGUGCCAAAUAGCAAUAUUUUGCAUGAAAUAUAGGAACUUCCGAUAUAAACUUUCAAGCUGGGGAAAAUGAAUACUUUAUGUCUUCAGUUUCCUGUAUCUGUGUUCAGUUAAAAGGCUCAUUUGCCCCCCGAAUGUUAAAUAGAGGAGUAUGGAAAAUGUCUACUAUCCAAUUCACUUUUCUUCUUUCUCACUGAGUACCGGGCUUUAGAGGGCAACAGGGAAUUCGACCCUGGGUCAAGCCCUUGGGUAGAACCAGGAUGCAGCUCUGAACACCUGCAUGCUGGCAGCUUGGCUUCUUCAGCAUGUUUGGAAUCAACUGUGAAUGUUUACAGGGCGGUGCUUUAAAGUAGUGGGCACAUCAAGAUUUCACCCUGGGACAUCUUAAUCUUAAGCAGAGUUGAAAAAGGUCCUAAAUUCUUCUAGUACCAUUUUCUCAUUUUUGAAAAAAAUGAAAGUACUUGCUUGGAAUUUUAUUAUGUAUGCAGAGUCAUAAAAAUCCAAAAAA
rnacentral:lncRNA from 1 species